CCUGGACCCGAAGCGGGAUGAUCUAGCCCUGGGCAGGUUGAAGCGCGGGUAAGACCGCGUGGAGGACCGAACCCACCUGGGUUGAAAACCGGGGGGAUGACCUGGGGCUAGGGGUGAAAGGCCAAUCAAAUUCCGUGAUAGCUGGUUCUCUCCGAAAUGCAUUUAGGUGCAGCGUCGGUUGAUUGCAUCGCGGGGGUAGAGCUACUGGAUGCUUGCGGGCCCGUAUGGGGUACCAAUAGCAGCCAAACUCCGAAUACCGUGGAUGUGUAUUCCGGCAGUGAGUCGGCGGGGGAUAAGCUCCGUCGUCGAGAGGGAGACAGCCCAGAUCGUCGUCUAAGGUCCCGAAGCGUGUGCUAAGUGGGAAAGGAUGUGGAGUCGCAUAGACAGCCAGGAGGUUGGCUCAGAAGCAGCCAUCCUUGAAAGAGUGCGUAACAGCUCACUGGUCUAGUGGUUCCGCGCCGACAAUGUAGCGGGGCUCAAGCACACCACCGAAGACGCGGCAGCGGCCUUUGCGGCCGUUGGGUAGGAGAGCGUCCCGCGUGGGGCGAAGCGGCCGGGGAACCGUGCCGUGGACCGCGCGGGAGUGAGAAUGCAGACAUGAGUAGCGAGAGACGGGUGAGGAUCCCGUCCGCUGGAUGACCAAGGGUUCCGGGGCCACGUUCGUCGUCCCCGGGUGAGUCGGGUCCUAAGGCGAGGCCGACAGGCGUAGUCGAAUGGAUGAACGGGUGGAUAUUCCCGUACCGGCGGCGUACCGUAAGAGCCGAACGGAUGAGUACUAACCUCCGGUCGCGUGGCGUCGUUCCCUUCGGGGUUCGGUGUCCGCGGUCGUUGGGAGCGUAGUCCCGGUAGGCUAGCGCACAGGGGUGACACGGAAUGGGAGCCGGCCGCGGAGGUGGUUUUCCGUGGUCAAGCACGCAGCCCGUCCCAUAGGCAAAUCCGUGGGGCAUGUAGGGUGAGGUGUGAUGAUGGGCGUCCUUUGGACGCGAUAUCCGGUGGUCCAGGCCGUCGAGAAAAGCCUCGGCGCGAGGGGCGUCGCCGCCCGUACCCCAAACCGACACUGGUGGUCAGGUAGAGAAUACCAAGGCGAUCGAGCGAAUCCUGGUCAAGGAACUCGGCAAAUCACUCCCGUGCCUUCGGUAUAAGGGAGACCCCCGGGCGUGAAGAGGCUUGCCCUCGGAGCGUUGGGGGGUGGCACAGACCAGGGGGUAGCGACUGUUUACCAAAAACACAGGUGCAUGCGAAGGCGCAAGCCGCUGUAUAUGCACUGACGCCUGCCCGGUGCCGGAAGGUUAAGAGGAUCCGUCAGUCCCUUUUGGGGUGAAGCGGUGAAUUCAAGCCCCGGUAAACGGCGGUGGUAACUAUAACCAUCCUAAGGUAGCGAAAUUCCUUGUCGGGUAAGUUCCGACCUGCACGAAUGGCGUAACGACUUCCCCACUGUCUCGACCAGGAGCUCGGCGAAAUUGCAGUACGAGUAAAGAUGCUCGUUAAGCGCAGAAGGACGAAAAGACCCCGGGACCUUUACUAUACCUUGGUAUUGGCGUUAGGCGCGGAUUGUGUAGCAUAGGCGGGAGGCUUCGAAGCAUGGGCGCCAGCCCGUGUGGAGCCGCAAGGUGAAAUACCGCUCUGUUCUCGUUUGACGUCUAACCUCGAACAGUCAUCCUGUUCAGGGACAGUGCCUGGCGGGUAGUUUAACUGGGGCGGUUGCCUCCCAAAGAGUAACGGAGGCGCUCAAAGGUCCGCUCAGCCCGGUUGGCAAUCGGGUUUCGAGUGUAAUCGCACAAGCGGGCUUGACUGCGAGAACGACGGUUCGGGCAGGGACGAAAGUCGGAGAUAGUGAUCCGGUGCCGGCGCACGGGCGCGGCAUCGCUCAACGGAUAAAAGGUACCCCGGGGAUAACAGGCUGAUCAUUCCCAAGAGUCCAUAUCGACGGGAUGGUUUGGCACCUCGAUGUCGGCUCGUCGCAUCCUGGGGCUGGAGCAGGUCCCAAGGGUUCGGCUGUUCGCCGAUUAAAGCGGCACGCGAGCUGGGUUCAGAACGUCGUGAGACAGUUUGGUCUCUAUCCUCUGCGCUCGUUGGAAUCCUGAGGAGGCCUGCCCAUAGUACGAGAGGACCUGGGUGGACGAACCUCUGGUAUGCCGGUUGUC
rnacentral:rRNA from 1 species